AAAAUUAAGUAUUCAUGGGUAAAGGUGGAAAAAGUGGUGGGGGUGGUGCAAAAGGUGGAAAGGGUGCAGCAAAAAGUGAUGGAGCUAGUAGCUCAGAUACCAAAGCAAGUGGAAAAAAAUCUAAUGCAGGAACAGCUGUAAAGCUACACUAGCAUUGCAGUUGGAGCUUUAACCAAUGUUGUUGGCAUACACACUUUAUUCUUUGUAAUUGGAUAUCUUUUAUUUUUUAAAACAUUUGUAAAUAACAUGACUUGGCUAUACUGAACAUGUGGGGUUAGCGGUAUUAGGCUGAAUAUUGGUUUUCAUCAUGUUAUAUAUUCAACAAAAUGUAAUAAAAGCAAUGCAAUCAUGUUUACUCAUAAGUUCUUUUGAGCCUUAAUAUUUUAAAAAAGUAUUGCCUGUGAGAAAGUUACAGUUGCAGCUACAGAUAAUUGUUGUUGUUUUUUAAAUUCAUAAAAUGUUCUGUCAAUAAGUAUAUAACAUUGUUUAAGUAUUGCAAGAUUGUUAUCUCACGUCGGGUAUUAUUGUGUGUAUUGUCAUUUAUUUGUACUUAAAACCAAAGUUCAACAACUUGUACUUGUAUUAUACUUGAGUUUACGAAUUUAAGCAUUCUAGUGUAAGAGGGCAAUAUGGUUUUUUAUAAAGAAAACUAUGUGUUUUAAUGAAAUAAUAAUAAAUAGGAAUGCUUUAUUGGAAACUGAUUCCUUUAAAAGCUAAGACAAUUGUAGAUAAAUAAACCAGUCAUGAUUUGUUCCAACCCACAUGUUGUUUCAAUGCAACAUAUUUGGCCAGUUAAACUGAACAGCACUCCCUAACAUAUGUAUAAUACACGAUCGAUUUACAACAAUACCUUAACAUGAUGGUCACAUGCGCACUUAGUUUUUAGUCAGUGGAAAAUGCAAUCAAAUGGAAAAGAGCCUUUAUUGACACUAUUUAUGUAGAUGUUUGCUCUUUGCAACAUUUGAUCUAUAUUUGAAAUCAGCCCAGAAAUUAUAACAUUAGUUUUUUCAGAUAAGGGGUUACAACUAAAUUACGUCCAGAUUACGACCAGAUAUGUGUCUUGACGAAGUCGUUUGUGCCACAAUGGAGUAUUAUCAAGUUUUGCAAUUUAUUUUUUUGUCGGUAUUAUGUAGUUUUUCAUGCACUCUAUAAUAUUGAUUCCGAACAGGAUUUCACAUAAACCUUGUCA